rnacentral:rRNA from 1 species
AGCGUUGUUCGGAAUUACUGGGCGUAAAGCGCGCGUAGGCGGUUUUUUAAGUCAGAGGUGAAAGCCCAGUGCUCAACACUGGAACUGCCUUUGAAACUGGAAAACUUGAAUCUUGGAGAGGUCAGUGGAAUUCCGAGUGUAGAGGUGAAAUUCGUAGAUAUUCGGAAGAACGCCAGUGGCGAAGGCGACUGACUGGACAAGUAUUGACGCUGAGGUGCGAGAGCGUGGGGAGCAAACAGGAUUAGAUACCCUGGUAGUCCACGCCGUAAACGAUGAUAACUAGCUGUCCGGGCUCAUAGAGCUUGGGUGGCGCAGCUAACGCAUUAAGUUAUCCGCCUGGGGAGUACGGUCGCAAGAUUAAAACUCAAAGGAAUUGACGGGGGCCUGCACAAGCGGUGGAGCAUGUGGUUUAAUUCGAAG